AUUGAACGCUGGCGGCAUGCCUUACACAUGCAAGUCGAACGGCAGCAUGGGGCAACCUGGUGGCGAGUGGCGAACGGGUGAGUAAUGCAUCGGAACGUACCUUUCAGUGGGGGAUAACGUAGCGAAAGUUACGCUAAUACCGCAUAUUCUGUGAGCAGGAAAGCAGGGGAUCGCAAGACCUUGCGCUGAUUGAGCGGCCGAUGUCAGAUUAGCUAGUUGGUGAGGUAAAGGCUCACCAAGGCGACGAUCUGUAGCGGGUCUGAGAGGAUGAUCCGCCACACUGGAACUGAGACACGGUCCAGACUCCUACGGGGGGCAGCAGUGGGGUAUUUUGGACAAUGGGGGCAACCCUGAUCCAGCCAUGCCGCGUGAGUGAAGAAGGCCUUCGGGUUGUAAAGCUCUUUCGGCCGGGAAGAAAUCGCACGGGCUAAUACCCUGUGUGGAUGACGGUACCGGAAUAAGAAGCACCGGCUAACUACGUGCCAGCAGCCGCGGUAAGAC
rnacentral:rRNA from 1 species